rnacentral:rRNA from 1 species
UACGUAGGGUGCAAGCGUUGUCCGGAAUUAUUGGGCGUAAAGAGCUCGUAGGCGGUUUGUCGCGUCUGCUGUGAAAACUCGGGGCUUAACUCCGGGCCUGCAGUGGGUACGGGCAGACUAGAGUGCGGUAGGGGAGACUGGAAUUCCUGGUGUAGCGGUGAAAUGCGCAGAUAUCAGGAGGAACACCGGUGGCGAAGGCGGCUAUCUGGACAGAAACUGACGCUGAGGCGCGAAAGCUAGGGGAGCAAACAGG